rnacentral:rRNA from 1 species
CCUACGGGAGGCAGCAGUGGGGAAUCUUGCGCAAUGGGCGAAAGCCUGACGCAGCCAUGCCGCGUGAAUGAUGAAGGUCUUAGGAUUGUAAAAUUCUUUCACCGGGGACGAUAACGACGGUACCCGGAGAAGAAGCCCCGGCUAACUUCGUGCCAGCAGCCGCGGUAAUACGAAGGGGGCUAGCGUUGCUCGGAAUUACUGGGCGUAAAGGGAGCGUAGGCGGAUAGUUUAGUCAGAGGUGAAAGCCCAGGGCUCAACCUUGGAAUUGCCUUUGAUACUGGCUAUCUUGAGUGUGGGAGAGGUAUGUGGAACUCCGAGUGUAGAGGUGAAAUUCGUAGAUAUUCGGAAGAACACCAGUGGCGAAGGCGACAUACUGGCCCAUUACUGACGCUGAGGCUCGAAAGCGUGGGGAGCAAACAGGAUUAGAUACCCUGGUAGUCCACGCUGUAAACGAUGAGUGCUAGUUGUCGGCAUGCAUGCAUGUCGUGCGCACUACGCAUANCACNCCGCCGUCGGGAGGUACGGUCGCAGAUAACUACAANAGAUAGACGCGUGAGAGNGCGACGACGACGACGAGGGAGAGG